rnacentral:rRNA from 1 species
GAUGAACGCUGGCGGCGUGCCUAAUACAUGCAAGUCGAGCGAACGGACGAGAAGCUUGCUUCUCUGAUGUUAGCGGCGGACGGGUGAGUAACACGUGGAUAACCUACCUAUAAGACUGGGAUAACUUCGGGAAACCGGAGCUAAUACCGGAUGAUAUUUUGAACCGCAUGGUUCAAAAGUGAAAGACGGUCUUGCUGUCACUUAUAGAUGGAUCCGCGCUGCAUUAGCUAGUUGGUAAGGUAACGGCUUACCAAGGCAACGAUGCAUAGCCGACCUGAGAGGGUGAUCGGCCACACUGGAACUGAGACACGGUCCAGACUCCUACGGGAGGCAGCAGUAGGGAAUCUUACGCUAUGGGCGAAAGCCUGACGGAGCAACGCCGCGUGAGUGAUGAAGGUCUUCGGAUCGUAAAACUCUGUUAUUAGGGAAGAACAUAUGUGUAAGUAACUGUGCACAUCUUGACGGUACCUAAUCAGAAAGCCACGGCUAACUACGUG